rnacentral:rRNA from 1 species
GACGAACGCUGGCGGCGUGCUAAACACAUGCAAGUCGAACGAUGAACCCGGAGCUUGCUCCGGUGGAUUAGUGGCGAACGGGUGAGUAACACGUGAGUAACUUGCCCUUGACUUUGGGAUAACUGCGGGAAACUGUAGCUAAUACCGGAUACGACCCUCGGCGGCAUCGCCAGGGGGUGGAAAGAAUUUCGGUCAAGGAUGGACUGGCGGCCUAUCAGCUAGUUGGUGAGGUAACGGCUCACCAAGGCGACGACGGGUAGCCGGCAUGAGAGGGUGACCGGCCACACUGGGACUGAGACACGGCCAAGACGCCUACGGGAGGCAGCAGUGGGGAAUAUUGCACAAUGGGCGCAAGCGUGAGGCAGCAACGCCGCGUGUGGGAUGACGGCCUUCGGGUUGUAAACCUCUUUUAGUAGGGAAGAAGCGAAAGUGACGGUACCUGCAGAAAAAGCACCGGCUAACUACGUGCCAGCCGCCGCCGUAA